GGAGAGAUGGCUGAGCUGGUCUAAGGCGUACGACUGGAAAUCGUAUGAGGUCUUAAAGCCUCCCAGGGUUCGAAUCCCUGUCUCUCCG
rnacentral:tRNA from 1 species